UUUCCGUAGGUGAACCUGCGGAAGGAUCAUUACUGAGUGAGGGCCCCUCGGGGUCCAACCUCACACCCGUGUUUAACGAACCUUGUUGCUUCGGCGGGCCCGCCUCACGGCCGCCGGGGGGCAUCUGCCCCCGGGCCCGCGCCCGCCGAAGCCACCUGUGAACGCUGUCUGAAGUAUGCAGUCUGAGACAAUUAUUAAAUUAAUUAAAACUUUCAACAACGGAUCUCUUGGUUCCG
rnacentral:misc_RNA from 1 species